rnacentral:rRNA from 1 species
AUCUACGGCCAUACCACCUGAACGUGCCCUGAUCUCAGAAGCUAAAUAGGGUUGGGCCUGGUUAGUAACUUGGGUGGGAGAAAGUGGGCCAACCAUAUAUU